UCCUCUUCCUCUUCCUCUCUCUCUAUAAUUUCUUGUUUCUCUCUAUCGUCUUCCUCUUUCUCUGUACCAAUUCUUCAUAUUUUGCAAUGUAGUUAACAUGGUAUCAGAACCAUCAGAAUCACGCCAUGUCUUCUGUUGGUUUCGUUUUUCAUUAGAUUUCAUCGUUUUCUAGUUUUAUUUUCUAUUCAGAUUUUCAAUAGACAUUCUGUCAAGUUCUUCGGUGCUUCCGCGAUCGUCCUAUAAUUUUUUUGGUUGAUUUUUCCUCUGGGCUAUGAAUAGAGAUUGUCGGUCAAAAUCUGGGUCGUCAAAAUUGUUCCUUUACGCCAAAUAGAAGUGGCAAUUUGUUUUUCUUUUCAGUUCUUGAAUUCUGGAAUUUUUCAGAUUUUCAUCGAGUUCUUGAUACAAGGAAAGAAGAUGGGAUGUCAAGCAAUUUUUUGGAUCCAGUGGAAUCUCUUCAUCUUAAUCGGUGACUGCUACUGUUACUGCUACUACCAUUGGGUUACAAGAAGGAGCAUUAUUCUACCCUUCGAAAUAUGUCAGUCAGUUAGGCCAAUCAUCUUCUCUGGCACCACAAGAGUAUCAAAUUCUUCGCUCGAUAGCAUUCCAAGUUUCAAUGCAGCUUCCUUUAAAGUGGAUCCCUCUUUGUUGGCUGUCUUUGCAACUGCCGCAGCAUUAUCAUAACCAAUUUUGUGGAUUCUGCUGUGAAAAGAUCCAAGCAUUUCCAUGAAGGUGUGGAAGAAAGUUUAGACCUUUGUGUAGUCAAAGUGUUUGAUGAAACACCCAGCUUAGAAUUUUCAUGUGAAGGUUAUGUUUCCAGUCCCUUUACUUCGAAUUCUUGAACAAUUAGAAUGAAUCUUUUCUUGGUUUGUUUUUUUUUUUUUGGUCGUUGUUACUGGUUUUGACUAAUUGCUCCAGACAAGAUAGUUCUUUGUUCUCUCUAGGUUCUGCAUUUUUGAUGUUUUGCAGCUUAUUUCCUUUCUUGGUUCGUGUUUUGAGAUUGGGUUUUCUCGGCAAAAUGGUGUCAUAUUUCUUGCUUAGAGUAUUGGGCACAAAGUUAUUCUGGUUCAAGAAGGACGUUACACCAUUAUCAAACUAAUUAUGGAAUGAGAAAAAUUACAGUAGCCAUUCUUGUGAUUAGAAGUCAUUUCAGUUAAUAGGUUGAGAAUUAAGGGCACACAGCCAUCUUUCUUUUGCCUUGAAGGUUUACAGAGAGUGUUGGUCACAUCCUAAAAUGCCACAUGGCAUUGUUGGGCUAAAGAUUGACUUGCAAAAAUGAAUCUCUCUCUCUUUAAUGGUAUACAUGUUUGAAGAAAUGUACAGCUCAAGUUGUUUUGUGAGGUUGGUGAAGACACAUGAUUCUUGUUCUAUUCUCUGGUGUGGAGUGAUCUUGCCGAUAUGGGUUUAUGUUGAAAAUUGGGUUUUUUAUUUUGUUGUUUUUUGGAUGAAUUGUUUAAAGAUAAACUACUGUUUCAUUCAAAUUUGAUUGGAUUAUGAGAUUUCAAGAAAGAGUCAUUCUUUCUUGAUGGUUAAGGAAGUAUCAUUCUUUCUUUGAUUCCAUAGAAUUUGCCAAGAGUAUCAUUCUCUUGUUGCCUUAGAAUUUGUCAAGAGUAUCAUUCUCUUGUUGCUUUAGAAUCUGUCAAGAGUGUCAUUCUCUUGUUGCCUUAGCAUUUGUGUCAAGAGUGUCAUUCUCUUGCUGCGUAGAAGAAUUCAUCUGUUUUUGAUUUCUGGAUUGUACUUGUGUCUUUCAUCAUGGCUUCACCUAUGGCUAAAGUUGUAGUCUUGUGUGAUGAUACUGGAGUGAGCAGAGGUUUUGGUUUGUGUCUCAACACUUUAAGAAGCUGAAAAAGCUCUCAGUAAUCUUUUGGUUAGCAGUUACAAAGUUGUCAUGGCAACCAAGUUGCUACGUAGUAUAUGUACAUUAGGAAGAAGUUCUGAGUGGGUAGACAUGCCACCAGGUUUAACUGAUUGGGUGGAAGGACCAAAUGUAGGCAUGAUAUGGACAACAUUCUUUACCUGACCAGCCUUGAGAAGUGAUGCAGCAUCCGAAGGAAAAGCAACGCGUGCCCCAGCAGCAAACGCAGUGGCUCUUACCAUACUAUCAGCCUUUAUGCCUUUAUGGGACUACGGUUUAGCUUCAGCAGUAGUAAAAUGCAGAGAGUUACUUGUUGCAUUUGUUCCAGCAAGCUUGCUGUCAGGUUAAUCCAAAGUCGGUGUAGUUAAAAGUGCUACAGUGUUGGAUCAUCAACUUUAUUCGAAAUGGCUAGUGUCUGCAUCAAAAGUGGAACUUGUAUCAAUGAUGUGGGACUGAACAUUCAAUUGUGGAUCACUUUAUAUUUUCGAGAUAGCAGGGUUGUCCAAAUACAAUACGGUUUUCCUACUCAUUAAUGUCAAUAACUCCAGACUAUCAUACACUGCUCCAAAUUGCAAGAGACAGGGGUUUGGGGUUUUCUACAGUGUUUAGCUUCAUAACAGUUAUUCAGAUGUAUUUACAAAAGGAUUGCACAGUCCAAUGUUCUUGAAGCAUUGCAGACAUCUUGGUCUUGUAGUUGCAGAUCAAUCUUAAAUACCUGGCUAGUUCAAACUUCACUUGGAUUCUCCAAGUUUAGUUUGAGGGGGGAGUAAUAACUGAUAUAACAGAAAUGCCACAUGGCAUUAUUCUAGUGGUUGAGUUUGUUAAUAUAGUUAGAACGGUAUUAUUGUAAUUGGAAUAUAUGACUAUAUAAGGGAUUGUAUAACUAUCAUUUCUUUAAGUUCGGUUGUAUACAUUUUUUCUAAUCAAUCAAUACAAUCUCUUGUUUCUUUCUAU